rnacentral:tRNA from 1 species
ACCUGGGUGGCUCAGUCGGUUAAGCGUCUGACUUUGGCUCAGGUCAUGAUCUCACAGUUCGUGGGUUUGAGCCCCACAUCGGGCU